AAAUGUACCAGGCCUAUUUAGUGGAACACUGGACACAAAGGUCAUGUAGCAAUGAUUAUUCAGGAUGAUCUCCUAACUCUUUUCUGAAUCACUGCUUUACCAUCUGAUCAUCUUGAUGGUUAAGGUUGUCCAUACUGGCUUCAUGCCAUUUACUAUAAAAGCCACCAAAAUACACUUUAUAUGGGGACAGAUUCCAACUAAUACAGGGAGAGGGAAUAAACACAGAAACAGUAUGAAAAUUCACACAUUGGAUAAUAUAAAUGACAAAUUAGUGCAGUUUGGGGUCUGACAUUGAUAUACAGACAGUGAACACACUCUACUUCAUCAGAGUUUUGUGAUGAAUGCCAGCCCUGCACACAGAGCAUGCUCAACUGAGUCAGAAGGACGGAGCUGUUC